rnacentral:rRNA from 1 species
AUUUAACGCUGGCGGCAGGCCUAACACAUGCAAGUCGAACGAGUGGCGGACGGGUGAGUAAUGUCUGGGAAACUGCCCGAUGGAGGGGGGUAACUACUGGAAACGGUAGCUAAUACCGCAUACCAUCGGAUUUGCCCAGAUGGGAUUAGCUAGUAGGUGGGGUAAAGGCUCACCUAGGCGACGAUCCCUAGCUGGUCUGAGAGGAUGACCAGCCACACUGGAACUGAGACACGGUCCAGACUCCUACGGGAGGCAGCAGUGGGGAAUAUUGCGCAAUGGGCGCAAGCCUGAUGAAGCCAUGCCGCGUGGAUGAAGAAGGCCGUCGGGUGGUAAAGUACUUGCAGCGAGGAGGCGUUAAUAGCAGAAGAAGCACCGGCUAACUCCGUGCCAGCAGCCGCGGUAAUAC